rnacentral:misc_RNA from 1 species
GCUACUUGCAGUGGAUUAGUCUGAUUCCUGCUCAGAGUUGUUAACACUAGCCCUAUGUAUCAGAUUCUUCCGGAAAAGAAAUUGUAAAUUGUUGAUGAUACAAACUGGAAGAAGAAAUAGUAAGUUGUUAGUUCAUGAUUUGCUGAUCGUCCUUGCCCCAAAUUUUGUCACUUCAGUAGAACAACUCUUCCUCAUGUGGGCAGAGUCAUGCUCUUCUUUAAAUUGUUCUUGUAUUUCUCCCUAAGACACUUGAUUUUUUUUUGCAAAUGAAGUGGUGUGGCUGAUUUGUGAGCAAGAGAUUGUUUAAUGGAAUCAUAAAGUUGAACAUAAUCAAACCUAAUUUUUCCUUUUUCAGUUUUCAACUUUAUGAGUCCCUUUAGGAUUGUGAUUUCAUCCUCUUUGCUCCAGGCACCAAC